AACGAACGCUGGCGGCGUGCCUAACACAUGCAAGUCGAACGGAAUGAGGGGGCUUGCUCCUUCAUUUAGUGGCGCACGGGUGAGUAACGCGUAGAUAAUCUGCCUGAUGAUCUGGGAUAACAUCUCGAAAGGGGUGCUAAUACCGGAUAAGCCCACGGGGUCUUUGGACUCUGCGGGAAAAGGGGGGGACCUUCGGGCCUUCUGUCAUCAGAUGAGUCUGCGUACCAUUAGCUAGUUGGUAGGGUAAUGGCCUACCAAGGCGACGAUGGUUAGCUGGUCUGAGAGGAUGAUCAGCCACACUGGAACUGAGACACGGUCCAGACUCCUACGGGAGGCAGCAGUGGGGAAUUUUGCGCAAUGGGCGAAAGCCUGACGCAGCAACGCCGCGUGAGUGAUGAAGGCUUUCGGGUCGUAAAGCUCUGUCAAGGGGAAAGAAGUGUAUUGUGGUUAAUACCCGCGAUACUUGACGGUACCCCUAAAGGAAGCACCGGCUAACUCCGUGCCAGCAGCCGCGGUAAUACGGAGGGUGCAAGCGUUGUUCGGAUUUAUUGGGCGUAAAGCGCGUGUAGGCGGUUUAUUAAGUCUGAUGUGAAAGCCCUGGGCUCAACCCAGGAAGUGCAUUGGAUACUGGUAGACUUGAAUACGGGAGAGGGCAGUGGAAUUCCUGGUGUAGGAGUGAAAUCCGUAGAUAUCAGGAGGAACACCGGUGGCGAAGGCGGCUGCCUGGACCGAUAUUGACGCUGAGACGCGAAAGCGUGGGUAGCAAACAGGAUUAGAUACCCUGGUAGUCCACGCCGUAAACGAUGAGUACUAGGUGUUGCGGGUAUUGACCCCUGCAGUGCCGCAGCUAACGCAUUAAGUACUCCGCCUGGGAAGUACGGUCGCAAGACUA
rnacentral:rRNA from 1 species